CGGCUAAAAAUAGAACAUAGGGGUAAAAUUCAGUUUUUGGCUUAUAACUCAAAAACCAAAGCAUUUAGAGCAAAUUUAACAUGAAGUAAAAUUGAUUAUCAGGUCAAGAUCUAUCUGCCCUGAAAUUUUCAGAUGAAUCGGACGACCUUUGUUGGGUUGCUGCCCCUGAAUUGGUAAUUUUAAGGAAAUUUUGCUGUUUUUGGUUAUUAUCUUGAAUAUUAUUAUAGAUAGAGAUAAACUGUAAACAGCAAUAAUGUUCAGCAAAGUAAGAUUUACAAAUAAGUCAACAUGACUGAAAUGGUCAGUUGAUCCCUUUAGGAGUUAUUGCCCUUUAUAGUCAAUUUUGAACCAUUUUUCGUAAAUCUUAGUUAUCUUUUACAAAAAUCUUCUCCUCUGAAACUACUGGGCCAAGUUCAUUAUAGAUUGAGAUAAUUGUAAGCAGCAAGAAUGUUCAGUAAAGUAAGAUUUACAAACACAUCACCAUCACCAAAACACAAUUUUGUCAUGAAUCCAUCUGCGUCCUUUGUUUAAUAUUCACAUAGACCAAGGUGAGCGACACAGGCUCUUUAGAGCCUCUAGUUUUGUAGCCA
rnacentral:lncRNA from 1 species